GACCUGAUAGCACAGAUGGUUAGUGCAUCUGUUAAUGGUGUCAUGGGUUGCAUCGAUUAAGCAGAAGGUCCCGGUUCGAACCCAGGUCAGAUCA